rfam:Candidatus Falkowbacteria bacterium RIFCSPLOWO2_12_FTLL_45_10 rifcsplowo2_12_scaffold_30793, whole genome shotgun sequence.
GCCGCGGUGGCGAAAUUGGUAGACGCGCAGGACUUAAAAUCCUGUUUCCGAAAGGAAAUGAGGGUUCGAUUCCCUCCCGCGGCA